CUAAUAUGAUUGAUAAUAUAUCGUCUGCCGUUUUAUGGAGUCACAGAGUUGGGGAAGGGACGCUCUAUCCACUCCGGAAGCUGCACACGGCAGAGCUCCACCAGAAAACGUGCCAGCGUGCUGAUGCGCUUCUUCUCUGCUACAGAUAAACCCCGUUCGCACACAGAGAGGGGGGAGAGGCAUGGAGCGUAGUGAAGUGUUGUAGCAAAUCGAGACCUCCCUUCACUGCCAGUAAGUUCCUUCACUUCUCAUCUCCAAACUCAUAUAAUGCUCGCUCACAUUUCAAAUUGUAUUUUAAUAUUUUUGAUGAUUGACUACGAUCUUGAUGCCUUUUCUUCAAUGGGUUCUUGUUCUAAUGUGUUUAAAUAAAUGCGUAAUCCAAGAUUCAUCUAGUUUUGAUGCUGUUAACGAACAAGAAUAUAUAAUAAACGAGCCUUAUGAUACUUUAAUACCUUACCCAUCUUCGAUUUGUUGUUAAUUCGCGCAUCAGAUUGAAGACAAGAACUGUUGUCCGGUUUUGAUUUGGUCCAUGAAGAGGAGUGCCUUGGGCGUCAUCUGAUUGUUAUCCCCAUUAAUCGUCACAGAAUGGGGCUGAAUUCAUAGUUCAGUUGAUUCAAUUGCUUUUAAGCAUUGCUUCUUGAGGUCAUCAGCACGCUUAUGAAUUUAGAAUGUGAAAGAAAUUAGACAACUCAGAUCGUAUCAUGUAGUCAGCUCCAAUUGAUUGGGAUGGAAGGCUUCAUGGUCUUCACAUUCUUGGGCCCAAUGCUUUGUCAAGAAAGAACAACACCCACCAAGGAAGUCCCACAUCUUCCGAAUUUCGAUAGCCUACAAGCGUGUGGUUGCCUCCGCACCACAUGCUUUUCACCAUGAGAUACCCACGACCACGAGCAUGGCCAAAACCAAGUGCAUGCAAGGGAGUUGGCACUUGGCACACGAGGAUUUUGGUGGCACCUUGAUGACCAAUUUAGCCUAGGAAAUUACACAGGGGUUGACCACAAAGCAUAGAAGGUGCAUUUCAUGCCAGGACUAUUGCGUAGUGCCGACACACUUGUUGUUGAUGGCACAAUCCCUGGCUCUCCCAUCUCACAUGGGCUUAACCCUCAGAGUGCUAAGCCUUACCCCCAAGUUGUCUUCAGGAUUGCACGCGUAGUGCCUCAUCUUGGACCCUGCGGCUUGUAGGUGGGCUCAUACUUUCCCUUAUUGUUGCUUUUGAGGCCAUGGACAGUGCCAUCGAGGCAAGUUGCCCUCAGGUUGGCACACGUAGUACCUCUCUUGGGGUAGAGGCUUGUCGGUGGCUCCCCACUUUUCCAUUAAAGUUGGCAUUUUGCGGCCAUGCACGGUUCCUUCCACGGCAAGUUGCUCAAGGUUGUGCACGUAGUGGCCUUCAUCUUGGCACUUAGGUGGUAGGUGGCUCCACUACUUUCCCUUAUAGUUUCAUUUUGAGCCAUUUCAUAAGUGGCAUAUGAGGUACAGAGGUAGGAGUUAUAAUGCCUUAAUAGUGUUUAGUUGAUCUCCAAACUCUUGAUCCGUGAAUUGAUGUGGGUUUCUAACUACUUGUAAUGCAUUAGAAAAAUCUCACAAAAAUACUUGGGCCCCCCUUGAAGGCCGAAAAUGCCACUAACCCAAGCUAGCAGACCCCAUAGCACGCACAACGCCUUUGGAUUUUUAACUACUUGCAACCCUUGUGUAUAUUCAAUGGAAAUAUCACUACGGUUUCUUUUGGCUCUAGUAUUGUCCAGAUUGCAAUGUUUAAAGAAUUCAGGUGUCGACACGCUUUUAAAGUCGGAUUAAUUUGUAUAGUGACACGUUAAAUGCUAGGAAAUGCUUUGGCAAAAUGACUUUUCCCCCAAGGCUGGGAAAUUAGCCCCGCACAGUUUUCUGCUAAUGAGAUAGCCCAUGUUAAAUGUUAUAGAUGGCCUUAGCAAAUCAAUUUGUCCAAGGCUAGGGGAUUAGCCCACAUUUCCUGCACUGACAUAGUAACCCAUUACUGCUUGGAGAUGCCUUAGCAAAAUAAAGGGUUAAUACACUGAACCUCCCCUGAAGGGGUCGGGUUAAUCACAAUAUCCUGAACGUUUUAGAAAUUACAAUCCUCCCCUGAGGUUUGAACUUGUACAGAUUUUUUCUAUUUUACACUGACGCACCUCUAAUUUUUCAGCUGGUGGUAUGAUAUUUAUAUGUUCAUUUUUUUGUUUUUACUAACUCCUUGUUUCUUUAGAGCGUGGUGCAGGUCAAUAGGCUGCUGAUAACUACAGUUACAAGGUAUUUUGUUAUUUCAUUUUGUUCUUUUCCUUGUUUUUUCAGUUCCCUUUUUUUUUGUUUUUUUUGUUUUUCCCUCUCUUUUUUCUUUUUGGUGUGGGGUGUGGUGGCAGGAAUGCUGAGGGCAAAGGUGGAAUGGAAGUGUGGCAAAUUUUUGAAGUACCCAUAUAUUGUUUUUUUAAGCUCUCUGUUACCUUUUUUGAUACUUUUGCUUUAAGUGGCCACUCUUUAAAUUCUUUGUUUAUAUCAAUUUUCCUUGUGGAACAGUAUCAAAAACCUAGUUUUUCGUUGUUCCACCGAGGCAGAAUUAAUUAUAUUAAGGUCCCCUCUUUGACUCACGUGUAUACAUUCAGUUGAAGGCUUUCGUUCAGGUUGAUAGUCUUUAAGAAAAUAUCCAAUUUUGCAGUGGGUCGAGGUUUUGUCUUCAGAUGCUUUUCUCGUCAUUUGAGGAUGCUGGAUUACAUGAUGAGAAGGUAUGUGGAGCGCUGUUUCAAGUAUUUGCCAAUUUUGACUUAAUUUUGUUCGAACAUUCUUUUCAUUUUUCUGUUUACUGUUGAAAAGUGGAUUUUCUUUGGCCUAACAUCUCAUGUGGGUCAGAAUCAGAAGUACCACAUGAAAUGGUCCAAUUGAGAAGGUGCACUGGUGUUUCGACCUUGUUGGGAGCUAGAGUAGUAUUUCGUUAUUUCGUGUUCAUAGUAGGGUAACACAGGUGCAGAGAUUUGUUGUGGGCACAAAGGUGGUUUCAUUGUCAUGGAUCCUUUGAGAUGUCACGGGGUGGUGUGGCAGCGUGUGCUUGGUUUUAUUAUUUGUUGAUCAGCUGCAUACUGCUUACGUUUCUAAUUCUCUCAAUAAUAUGCUGGUGCCUUAAAUCACGUGGUCUGUGCACGUGUAUGAGUUUUAUUAUUUGGCUGGUUAUUUCUCUAUUCACUUGUUUUCUCAAGGUUUUAAUAUGUAUUAUGAUUUAUUAAAGGCAUUUAUUGUCUUUGCAACAGCGUCAAGAACAGGACACAGGUUGCGGAAACAGUACUGCUUUCAAGGUGGAAAAGCACCUCUUGAGUUAAUAUCAUACUAUCUCAAUUAUUUUCUUUAUUAAGUUAUUCUAUAUUUGUUCAAUGGGAUAAAUAUUCAAUGGCCGACACUCUAUUCCGUUGCCGCCAUGCCCCAUUAUUCUUUUUGCCAACCAUAACUCCUUGUUCACCAACAGGACAUAACUUUGGGUUGGGGUGGGCUGGGGUGCGAGUGGCACGUCGGACCACUAGGCGGUGAUUAAUGUUCACUUUUCAUGAGUAUUUAGAUACUUUUCGCAAGUUUCAAUGCACUCUCACUUAUAUUUAUACAUGUUUCACACUACCCAAUACACUUUUUGCCCAUUAGCGGUGGUUAUUUUUUUUAUGUAUUUCAGUUACUCAAUAACACCUUUUGGCAUUCCUAUUUUCAAAACAAGUCACUAGCACUUUUUCACAGCCCUAAUAGCCUUCCAAUCUAAUAAUCUUUCUUAAUUUCAUUUCUGAGGUACAAUCUGUUUAUUGCUAUCACAUUCUUAGUCUCCAUCUCCUUGAUUUCUUCUCCAAUAUUUAGUUUUGUACACUGAAAAGGGAAAUUGCCAUGAAAUUUAGCUCAUAAUUGAUCUUUUAUGGUUCUCGGGAUUUGAAAGAGCAUUGAGUUCCAUUUUGUUGAUGAUUGAGUUGAAAUGUGAAACUAAACAUCUGUUUAUACUUGUUAGCUCUUGCAUAUCAUUCAUACCGUGCUUGCUUGCUUCCUUGUUUCGGGGUGUAGUGUGGAAUUCCGAGGGCGUGAAGCUUCUCCAGAGACACUUUCUCAGCAUACAAUGGCCUAUUGCCGGUCCCAGCCUCUGCUUGAAAAGUGAAUUAUUCACAAGGUUGCAAGGCUUAAAAAUUGGGUACUAUUUUUUCCAUAACAGGCUAAAUUGGAAAUCAAAUGCCUUGUACAUCCAUUAUUAUGGAUGUUUGGCAAUUAGUUCACAAAAAAUAAACAUUUCUUACUGGUCAGUGCUUUUGUACUAGUUCUUAGAAUCUAGUGAAUUACAAACAAAACUGAAAUAGUUCUUUUGAAAAUAUAUAUGUUUUUUUUCAGUUCUGCUCCAUGUUCUCGCCUAUCUAUCUAAUGUUUGAUGUUCUCUCUUGUUUCCCGAGCGCAAUGUAAUACUAUGAGUAUUUUGCGGGAAAAGAAAGAAACUAAAAAGAUAAGGAAAAGAAAAUAAAGUGAAGGCAACUAGUUGGUUGGCUCAUGAAAUUAAGAAUAUAUUUUGUUUAGUUAUCUAUAAAGAAAUGAUUACAUAGAAUUAUUUUCAUUUCCCUUUCAUAUUUCUUUUCCUUACAGGUCCAUGAUGCAUACGCAGUGUUUGUCUAAAAAUAUUUUCUAUUUUUUGUCAUGAAAUGCUAAUAAUGAGAUAUUGCCCUAACAAUUUGGACAAGGCGAGUUUCACAUUUUUUUUCCUCGUGUUUUUUGUAGACUAAAAAGCUUAAAACUAACUUACAAUCACCACAAUUCACGUUGAACCAUAGCCUUACAACAGGAAACUGUACACUAAUAUACUUUUUCACUCAAACAUGCAUUCUCCCUCUCAUCAAUUUACGUCAUAUUAUAUUUUUUUUACUGCCACAUCCCAUUGUAUCUUAUUUCGUAGGUUUUAAAGUGAAAAACUAUUAUUUCGCUAGCGCACAUAGCCACCCCUCCUGGAAAUUUAAAAACUCAAAAGUUUGAAAAAUGUUGUAAAUAAUAAA
rnacentral:lncRNA from 1 species